AAGGAUGAUCUAAUCCAUGUUGUUUGAGGUGCAGUAGAUCCAAGUCUCUGCUCUCCAGAGAGAACCUACUUGGUGAAGAGAUGUAAAUGAUAGGUAACCUUACUU